rnacentral:rRNA from 1 species
CACGUAGGGCGCAAGCGUUGUCCGGAAUUAUUGGGCGUAAAGAGCUUGUAGGCGGUUUGUCGCGUCUGCUGUGAAAUUUCGGGGCUCAACCCCGAACUUGCAGUGGGUACGGGCAGACUAGAGCGUGGUAGGGGAGACUGGAAUUCCUGGUGUAGCGGUGAAAUGCGCAGAUAUCAGGAGGAACACCGAUGGCGAAGGCAGGUCUCUGGGCCACUACUGACGCUGAGGAGCGAAAGCGUGGGGAGCAAACAGG